CCUACGGGUGACAGCAGUAGGGAAUUUUGCGCAAUGGGGGAAACCCUGACGCAGCAACGCCGCGUGAUCGAUGAAGCCCUUCGGGGUGUAAAGAUCUGUCAGUGGGGACGAAACCUGACGGUACCCACAGAGGAAGCACCGGCUAACUCCGUGCCAGCAGCCGCGGUAAUCCGGGGGGUGCAAGCGUGGACCGGAAUCAUUGGGCGUAAAGGGUUCGUAGGUGGCACGUUAAGUCUGGUGUUAAAGGCGGAAGCUCAACUUCCGUAGGGCCGUGGAUACUGGCGAGCUUGAAUGCGGUAGAGGUAAAGGGAAUGCCUGGUGUAGCGGUGAAAUGCGUAGAUAUCAGGAGGAACAUCGGUGGCGAAGGCGCUUUACUGGGCCGUAAUUGACGCUGAGGAACGAAAGCCGGGGUAGCAAAUGGGAUUAGAUACCCGAGUAGUC
rnacentral:rRNA from 1 species